UGGUGGUUAUGGCACGAGUGAACCACCCGAUCCCAUCUCGAACUCGACCGUGAAACCUCGUCGCGCUGAUGGUACUGCAUCUUAAGGUGUGGGAGAGUAAGUCGCUGCCAGGCC
rnacentral:rRNA from 1 species